GUUAAUGAUGAGCGAGCUGCGUGAUGCAGGUACCCCAAAUGCCAAAGUUAUCUUCUGGUGAAUUAAUUGGGCUCUAGAAGGUCAUCGUUCCCCUCUGCUCAGUUCUGGUUGGCGUGGUGCGGCUUGCCUGCCUAAGCUGCCUUCCCACAUGGUGCCUGCCCUGCGCCCCAACUGAGCUGCCUCCUCCUGCCUACAGCAUUGGAGGAGGGGGCUUUUUCCCAGAAGACACCCCCAGUCAAUGUGGUGAUUUUUCCGCCUUUGACUGGGACGGCUACGGGACUCACCACGGAUGGAGCACUUCGAACAUCAUCUUGGAGGCCGCCGUGCUGAUCUUCUACUGCUGAGUCAGCGGCCGAAUCAGAAUCCGGAGACGGAGGUGCCUGUCCCGGAGCAGAAAAAAUAACGAUUAAAACACACAAUCUGACAACGCUUUGCAACAAAAAUAAAAGCAGCACAUUAAAGUUU